rnacentral:rRNA from 1 species
GACGAACGCUGGCGGCGUGCCUAAUACAUGCCAGUAGAACGCUGAAGCGAGGAGCUUGCUCUUCUUGGAUGAGUUGGGAACGGGCGAGUAACGCGUAGGUAACCUGCCUUGUAGCGGGGGAUAACUAUUGGAAACGAUAGCUAAUACCGCAUAACAAUGGAUGCCACAUGUAAUUUAUUUGAAAGGGGCAUUUCCUCCACUACAAGAUGGAUCUGCGUUUUAUUAGCUAGUAGGUGAGGUAACGGCUCACCUAGGCGACGAUACAUAGCCGACCUGAGAGGGUGAUCGGCCACACUGGGACUGAGACACGGCCCAGACUCCUACGGGAGGCAGCAGUAGGGAAUCUUCGGCAAUGGGGGCAACCCUGACCGAGCAACGCCGCGUGAGUGAAGAAGGUUUUCGGAUCGUAAAGCUCUGUUGUAAGUCAAGAACGAGUGUGAGAGUGGAAAGUUCACACUGUGACGGUAGCUUACCAGAAAGGGACGGCUAACUACGUG